AUUGAACGCUGGCGGCAAGCCUAACACACGCAAGUCGAACGAGUGGCGGACGGGUGAGUAAUGUCUGGGAAACUGCCUGAUGGAGGGGGAUAACUACUGGAAACGGUAGCUAAUACCGCAUACCAUCGGAUGUGCCCAGAUGGGAUUAGCUAGUAGGUGGGGUAAAGGCUCACCUAGGCGGAGAUCCCUAGCUGGUCUGAGAGGAUGACCAGCCACACUGGAACUGAGACUCGGUACGGACUGCUACGGGAAGCAUCAGUGGGGAAUAUGGCGCAAUGGUCGCAAGCCUGAUGCAGCCAUGCCGCGUGUAUGAAGAAGACCUUCGGGUUGUAAAAUACUUACAGCGGGGAGGCGUUACCCGCAGAGGAAGCACCGGCUAACUCCGUGACAGCAGCCGCGGUAAUAC
rnacentral:rRNA from 1 species